AUAGGAUUAUGCCACGUGUCAAA
rnacentral:siRNA from 1 species